GACGAACGCUGGCGGCGUGCCUAAUACAUGCAAGUUGAGCGCUGAAGGUUGGUACUUGUCCCGACUGGAUGAGCAGCGAACGGGUGAGUAACGCGUGGGGAAUCUGCCUUUGAGCGGGGGACAACAUUUGGAAACGAAUGCUAAUACCGUAUAAAAACUUUAAACACAAGUUUUAAGUUUGAAAGAUGCAAUUGCAUCACUCAAAGAUGAUCCCGCGUUGUAUUAGCUAGUUGGUGAGGUAAAGGCUCACCAAGGCGAUGAUACAUAGCCGACCUGAGAGGGUGAUCGGCCACAUUGGGACUGAGACACGGCCCAAACUCCUACGGGAGGCAGCAGUAGGGAAUCUUCGGCAAUGGACGAAAGUCUGACCGAGCAACGCCGCGGGAGUGAAGAAGGUUUUCGGAUCGUAAAACUCUGUUGGUAGAGAAGAACGUUGGUGAGAGUGGAAAGCUCAUCAAGUGACGGUAACUACCCAGAAAGGGACGGCUAACUACGUG
rnacentral:rRNA from 1 species